rnacentral:rRNA from 1 species
UACGAAGGGGGCUAGCGUUGCUCGGAAUCACUGGGCGUAAAGGGCGCGUAGGCGGCCAUUCAAGUCAGGGGUGAAAGCCUGUGGCUCAACCACAGAAUUGCCUUUGAUACUGUUUGGCUAGAGACCGGAAGAGGUAAGUGGAACUGCGAGUGUAGAGGUGAAAUUCGUAGAUAUUCGCAAGAACACCAGUGGCGAAGGCGGCUUACUGGUCCGGUUCUGACGCUGAGGCGCGAAAGCGUGGGGAGCAAAGCAGGG